UGAGGAACAUGACCUUCGGCGGGGGAGUAGCCGGCCCAACGGCCGGGUAAUACCGCGUACGACCACAUGGGGACAUCCCCGAGUGGUGAAAGCAGCAAUGCGCCGAUGGAGUGCCUCGCGGCCUAUCAGCUAGUUGGUGAGGUAACGGCUCACCAAGGCGACGACGGGUAGCUGGUCUGAGAGGAUGGCCAGCCACAUUGGGACUGAGACACGGCCCAGACUCCUAGGAGG
rnacentral:rRNA from 1 species